UAGGGAAUCUUCCACAAUGGACGCAAGUCUGAUGGAGCAACGCCGCGUGAGUGAAGAAGGUCUUCGGAUCGUAAAACUCUGUUGUUAGAGAAGAGCACGAGUGAGAGUAACUGUUCAUUCGAUGACGGUAUCUAACCAGCAAGUCACGGCUAACUACGUACCAG
rnacentral:rRNA from 1 species